AGAGUUUGAUCCUGGCUCAGAUUGAACGCUAGCGGGAUGCUUUACACAUGCAAGUCGAACGGCAGCGCGAGAGAGCUUGCUCUCUUGGCGGCGAGUGGCGGACGGGUGAGUAAUAUAUCGGAAGGUGCCCAGUAGCGGGGGAUAACUACUCGAAAGAGUGGCUAAUACCGCAUACGCCCUACGGGGGAAAGGGGGGGAUCGCAAGACCUCUCACUAUUGGAGCGGCCGAUAUCGGAUUAGCUAGUUGGUGGGGUAAAGGCUCACCAAGGCAACGAUCCGUAGUUGGUUUGAGAGGACGACCAGCCACACUGGGACUGAGACACGGCCCAGACUCCUACGGGAGGCAGCAGUGGGGAAUUUUGGACAAUGGGGGAAACCCUGAUCCAGCCAUCCCGCGUGUAUGAUGAAGGCCUUCGGGUUGUAAAGUACUUUUGGCAGAGAAGAAAAGGUAUUUCCUAAUACGAGAUACUGCUGACGGUAUCUGCAGAAUAAGCACCGGCUAACUACGUGCCAGCAGCCGCGGUAAUACGUAGGGUGCAAGCGUUAAUCGGAAUUACUGGGCGUAAAGCGUGUGUAGGCGGUUCGGAAAGAAAGAUGUGAAAUCCCAGGGCUCAACCUUGGAACUGCAUUUUUAACUGCCGAGCUAGAGUAUGUCAGAGGGGGGUAGAAUUCCACGUGUAGCAGUGAAAUGCGUAGAUAUGUGGAGGAAUACCGAUGGCGAAGGCAGCCCCCUGGGAUAAUACUGACGCUCAGACACGAAAGCGUGGGGAGCAAACAGGUUUAGAUACCCUGGUAGUCCACGCCCUAAACGAUGUCAACUAGCUGUUGGGGCCGUUAGGCCUUAGUAGCGCAGCUAACGCGUGAAGUUGACCGCCUGGGGAGUACGGUCGCAAGAUUAAAACUCAAAGGAAUUGACGGGGACCCGCACAAGCGGUGGAUGAUGUGGAUUAAUUCGAUGCAACGCGAAAAACCUUACCUACCCUUGACAUGUCUGGAAAGCCGAAGAGAUUUGGCCGUGCUCGCAAGAGAACCGGAACACAGGUGCUGCAUGGCUGUCGUCAGCUCGUGUCGUGAGAUGUUGGGUUAAGUCCCGCAACGAGCGCAACCCUUGUCAUUGGUUGCUACGCAAGAGCACUCUAAUGAGACUGCCGGUGACAAACCGGAGGAAGGUGGGGAUGACGUCAAGUCCUCAUGGCCCUUAUGGGUAGGGCUUCACACGUCAUACAAUGGUCGGGACAGAGGGUCGCCAACCCGCGAGGGGGAGCCAAUCUCAGAAACCCGAUCGUAGUCCGGAUCGCAGUCUGCAACUCGACUGCGUGAAGUCGGAAUCGCUAGUAAUCGCGGAUCAGAAUGUCGCGGUGAAUACGUUCCCGGGUCUUGUACACACCGCCCGUCACACCAUGGGAGUGGGUUUCACCAGAAGUAGGAACGAUGCNAGUAAGGAGGGCGCUUACCACGGUGGGAUUCAUGACUGGGGUGAAGUCG
rnacentral:rRNA from 1 species